rnacentral:misc_RNA from 1 species
GAUGAAGAACGUAGCAAAAUGCGAUAAGUAAUGUGAAUUGCAGAAUUCAGUGAAUCAUCGAAUCUUUGAACGCACAUUGCGCCCGCUGGUAUUCCGGCGGGCAUGCCUGUUCGAGCGUCAUUUCAACCCUCAAGCCCCCGGGUUUGGUGUUGGGGAUCGGCUCUGCCCUUCUGGGCGGUGCCGCCCCCGAAAUACAUUGGCGGUCUCGCUGCAGCCUCCAUUGCGUAGUAGCUAACACCUCGCAACUGGAACGCGGCGCGGCCAUGCCGUAAAACCCCAACUUCUGAAUGUUGACCUCGGAUCAGGUAGGAAUACCCGCUGAACUUAAGCAUAUCAAUAAGGGAGGA